rnacentral:rRNA from 1 species
UACGUAGGGUGCAGGCGUUAAUCGGAAUUACUGGGCGUAAAGCGUGCGCAGGCGGUUUGCUAAGACAGGUGUGAAAUCCCCGGGCUUAACCUGGGAACUGCGCUUGUUACUGGCAAGCUAGAGUGUGGCAGAGGGGGGUGGAAUUCCACGUGUAGCAGUGAAAUGCGUAGAUAUCAAGCGGAACACCGGUGGCGAAGGCGGCCUUCUGGACGAUGACUGACGCUGAGACGCGAAAGCGUGGGGAGCAAACAGG